rnacentral:rRNA from 1 species
UAACGAAUAAAAGCUACUCCGGGGAUAACAGGCUGAUCGCUUCCGAGAGUCCAUAUCGACGAGGCGGUUUGGCACCUCGAUGUCGGCUCAUCCUAUCCUGGGGCUGGAGAAGGUCCCAAGGGUCCGGCUGUUCGCCGGUUAAAAGGGUACGCGAGCUGGGUUCAGAACGUCGUAAGACAGUAGACCGUGGUGGAAUUUAGACCCCAUCACAAUGAGCUGUCCACUUUCCGAUGUUCAUAUACGAAUCCCAUCGAGAUUAAUAUAAAACUGUUAUAUAUGCGAAAGUAUUCCGUUACAUGCGUAACGUAACGGAAUAAAUCUGACUAUUUGCUGGAAACUCUGAGUAUCCAAACGUACGAGUGAUCGUAAUAAUCGUUUGGUGCAGACAAUCAGCAGGGAAGAUCCUGAGCGAAAUUCCGUUUACGGAAUGGAGUCGAAGGAAACCCUCAGAGACUACAUGUCAGACUUCGACGUAACGUCGGAGAAGAUAUAGUCCGAACUGCAUGGCGACAUGCAGAGUGUUUUAAUUAACACAACGUUCAUAUUUAAUUGAUAAUUAUGACGUGUAACAAAUUUGUCGGUCUCUAUCCAGUGUGGGCGAUUGAUUCUUGAGGGGAGCUCUCUACAGUACGAGAGGACCUAGAGGGACAGAUCCCUGGUGUGCCUGUUGUUAAGCAUUCGUGCUGGCAACGCAGGGUAGCUAGAUCUGGACGGGAUAAGCGCUGAAAGCAUCUCAAGCGCCAAGCCCUCCCCAAGAUGAGGAAUCGUUAUAGACCACCCGUAGAUGACGGGUUUGAUAGGCGAGAAGUGUACGCACCGCAAGGUGUUUAGCUAACUCGUACUAAUCGGUCGAAGUUGUGGGGAA